UACGUAGGUGGCAAGCGUUGUCCGGAUUUACUGGGCGUAAAGAGCGCGCAGGCGGUCGGCCAAGUCGAGUGUGAAAGCCCCCCGGCUCAACUGGGGGAGGGUCAUUCGAUACUGGUCGACUCGAAGGCAGGAGAGGGAAGCGGAAUUCCCGGUGUAGUGGUGAAAUGCGUAGAUAUCGGGGAGGAACACCAGUGGCGAAGGCGGCUUCCUGGCCUGUUCUUGACGCUGAGGCGGCGAAAAGCUAGGGGAGCAAACGGGG
rnacentral:rRNA from 1 species